AUGAAAAGCGAAAUCCUCUGUGUCGGUGGAGAUGAUAGUACCCUUUCCUUUUAUGCUGAUCUCUUUAAUUGUAGUAUUGGACAUUUCCCAAUGAAAUACUUGGGAGUCCUAGUCAGUUUCUCCUCUUUGCGUAGCAUAGAUUGGGAUUUUAUGGAUGAGAGGUUCCUUAAAUGUUGUGAAUCAUGGAUUGGUAAUGCGGCAUCUUCGGGUGGGAGGCUCAUCCUUCUCAAUUCCUCUUUAACUAGCAUUGUCUUUUACUACAUGUCCAUGUUCCUUCUUCCUAAAGGGGUGAUUGAGAAACUGGAUAAACACCGUAAGCGGUUCUUUUGGCAAGAACAUGAGGGGCGUAAAUGAUACCAUCUAGUGAGAUGGAAUAGAAUUUGUAGAUCCAAAGAGAAAGGGGGAUUGGGAGUCAAGGAUCUUCAUAAACAGAACUUAAGCCUCCUCACCAAGUGGUGGUGGAAACUGGAAACUAAACAAGGGCUAUGGCAGGAUGUGAUCCGGGCCAAGUACUUUAAGAAAGACACGGUGACCUCUGUCAAAACUAAAUUCAAUGAUUCUCCAAUCUGGAAAGCAAACAUGAAAACUAAAGAUUACUACCUGGCUGGCAGAAAAGUGAAUUUACAAUCUGGAGAUCUUGCUAGACUGUGGGUUGAUCCAGUUGGCAAUGAACCUCCCCUCCAGUUGCAGUUUCCUAUGAUUUAUGAAAUUUGCAAUGAUCAGGAUAUCACGGUUGCUAAGUUCAGGGAAGGGGUGGAGGAAAACUUUUUUAGAAGGCAACUCCACCCUCCCAUGCUUGAGCAA
rnacentral:rRNA from 1 species